GAAGGGAAGCCCUGCGCGUCCCCAGGCCCCUCUCCCGCCUCAGGGUGCCGGGACUGCUGGCAGCGCCCAGGGCCCCUGGGGGCCGUUUUGCCCCGCGGGGCUCAUGGCGGCCGGCCGCGGGCGAAGCGGGCAAGGGCAGCCCCAGGCGUCCUGAGGCGAGCCCGGGUCCCGGCAGCCGCAGGCGGGGUAAAACUUUCUGCCGGGUCGGCUCGGGGGGAACACUCUCUAGCCACCUCCGCCGGCGCUUGGGAAGGAUGCCCCGGGACGGAGGCAGGGGGAGAGCCCGAUGUCCGCACCGGGCGGCGAGCACCCGGCAAACUCCGGAGAGCCGCCUUCGCAAGCCCCCGGCGCGGGGAGGAGAGGAGACGGAGGGGUGGGCAGGCGAUAAGGGAGCGGGGACUUACCGGGCGUGAAACACCGAGAGGAGGAAGAAGACGGCGAGGAGCUUAGCGGGCAUGGUCCGGGCAGAGCUGGCCAGCAAAGUGUGUGCAGGGCAAAAAGAGUUUGGGUCUGGACAUCGCGUGUCCUUCUGCUCCGCUAAAAUGCGAUUUUUGGCGACUCCGGGUAUCUUUUCAGCAGGCGUCAGGGUGAUAAGGAAAAUCCCCCUUUGCUCUCAGGAUCGGAAAUGACAAAAUUUCACUUACGCUGUGGUAAGCUGGAAACAAAAAGCCCUGCUAAGGUACUGCGAGCGAUCGUUUCACUGCGAUAAGGAAGCCCAGAGGCAUGCAUCUCUGCCUCCUCCAUUAUUUCCAAGUUCUGGGAAGUCGUUUUUUAUUAUGACAUUGCAUUAAGAAAAAAAGUUCCGACGGAAGAUGCAUUCCUGCUUUUAGCCCAGCUUCCACGCCUGGAAGACCUGCCCAGAAAGUGCUUGCUGUUCCCCAAGUUAUUUAGCGAAGGAACGAGCCCAGCUUAGGGAAAAUCCGCUGCGAGCCGGCCAAUUCAUUCACAGCCUGCACUUUCCCUUUUAUUAUUAUUUUGCUUUCAGCCUAAACUUCUCCUCGCUACAUCCUAUAGCGGUCUUUCGGGGCUGACCCCGGCUACUCGCCACAGGACGAGCGCCACUCGCCACCGCCGGCGGAGCAGCGGCCGCGGGGGCCCCUGGCGGCGGCGGGGAGAAGCGCGGCGGGUGCCGGGGGGGGCUCCCGGUGGGCACCCCCCGAGCCCCGACCGGGGGCUGUGCGGGGCUGUCCCUAUGGAGCUGGCCCGCAGGAGGAUGGCAGAGAGCCCCGAGGCUCGGGCUGGGCUCCCGGAGUCUGUGAUCAUCGCCGCCUCCUCGCCAGGGCGAGAGGAAAAAAAAAGGAAAAAUAAAUAAAUAAAUAAAAAGAAGAUAAAGAAGAUUGAGAUUUUUUUUUUCCCUUGGCCUUGGUGGGCUGUGUUGAUGCCCAAGGAGUGCUUUAGCUCCGCCGUUCGUUAUACCUUGGGCCUGUGACAUUUCUACUUCUCCCUUUUCGCUCACGCUCACAUCCUUUGCUCUUUAAAGCUCCCCCUGCCUUCGCUGAGGCUUUUCAAGUUGUGUAUUCAGGUAAGGAUUAUGAUUAUCCAGCACGUGUUUUAAUAAAAGAAUGUUUUAUUACUCACUGUAACGACAGGAAAAUGCAUAUGCUCUCCAGCACAAUAAAGUGGAUCCAUAUUUUAAUUUACUUUUCAUUGCAUCUUCACAGAAGCGACUACUGUUUUUUCCACCUGAGGGAUACCAAAGGCUAAAGCCUUUGCAGCACUUGUUGUCAGGGGUAUGUAAGGGUCUCGGGAAGCUGCCAUGCAGGAAACUAGUACACAUAAUAAAGGGGGAAAUGCAGAGGGAAGGAACAGGUCCCGCAAAGCAAGUGGCCUACUUGUGAGAACCGUGUGCCCCCCUGCCAGCCCCAAGCACUUCCCUGCUGCUAGGCACCUCAGCUUUCCUGUGACUGAAUUUGAAGUUAUGCCCUCACCGGUGGCUCUCCCAGCUCCCCAGCCACCCACAAGCAGCACAGGAGGGAGCUGGGGCUGCUUGGAGGUGCUUUGAGGUGUCGGUGACACCAGCCUGCAGUGAGUGGCCAGCUGAGCCCAGGCCCCCCAAAGCCAAGCUGCCUGUGAGUGGCUGCGGCUCCACAUUUUUUUACCACGUAUGACAAGUUAUGCAGUAUUUUUCAUCCUGUGUGUAGUACAUCAUUUUGUUCCCCACCUAUCACUGUAACCCAUCACUGUCCAGCGUGUUGCAAUCUAUCAGUUUUCCCCUGAAACUCUCAACAUUUGUCUAACAAAUAAAUGACUUGGUAUCUUCAA